GCCAAGUUUCAGAGCUACCAAAGUUUUUUUCUCUUUGCUGCAUGGAUAUCAGCCCCAUAGAUCUUUGAUGGGUUAAACUAAUGCAAAUGUAAACACUUCUGGUAAACAUCUUUUUUUUUUUCUUUUUCUUGCCUGUUGUUUCUAGAGAAUUGCUGUGGUCAACCAACCUCUCCCUAAUCCAAAAGGAUGAGAAAGAAAGAAUAUUCUAGUGAUGCUGCAUGACUGCGAAACAUACAAGCAAAGCCAGAAGAAAUGCACAAGGAAUCAGAGACAGUCAAGGAAGGAGACCAAACUAUUAAUGGACAGUUUCAAGGCCAAACAAAAUGUAAAGACAUAAAUUUUCACAGUAGUUCAAAAUCAUAAGCUCUUCAGGACAAGAAACCAUUCUUUUGUUAGAAUAUAUUUAUGCUGUAAUUAUGUAGUUUAGGUAUUCUAUAUGUUCAGCUUCAGUAUAUCACAUAUCCUUUCUGUAACUGUAUUUCUAUUACAUCAAUAUAUAACAUCUCUUAAAUUGGGUCUCUCAUCCAUGAAUAGAAAUUCAAAAGCUUUCAACUAUACAGCAGAUAGGCUUAGAGAAAAUGAGAGAAGAGGGAGAAAAAUGCAUCCUGCAUACACUAGCUGACAAAUUUCUAAAUUAUACAAUGUUUGAAUUUAUCCCUAUCUAAAGACUGUUCAGUUUACGAUAGUUAUGAAAUUGAUUUGAAAAUAUUUUGUGCUAUCAUUUAAGCUCAUCUAAAGAAACGAACUGUUGAAUGUCUUUGUUGCUCCAGAAUCUACUGGAUUUCUAGGGAUACUUCAUAAAGACAUUGAAAAGUGCGUGUGGUGCAGCUCAACAUUUAAGAAGUUCUAUGCGGACCUGUAGAUAUCCUGUAUGUCAAAGAAGAACUCCAGAGAUCUAAGUGCAUUGUAACCCAAAACAGCAAUGAGUGAGCUAAAAAUGAGUAAAGAGUGACACAUUUAAUUUGAAGCCCUGUUGUGCAGUGCCACUGAACCAACUGCUGCAAACAACAGGUCUGGCACUUGGGUCCUUCAGAUAUCCAAGAUCUGCCUACCUACUCAAUGAGGCCCAAGACAUGUUCAAAUCAGAGAAAAAUGUGACAUUUAAACAUAUGAAUGGCAUAAUAAAACCUGCUAUUGCACCACUAGGAUGCUUGUUUUCUGUUACUAAUAACCAGCUCAACCUGUAUAUUUGUAGAGUUACAUGCCCUCCUAGAUCUUAAUAUAACUUGUCCCAUUCAGAUAGGAAUCAGCCAGUUGCUUUUUUCAUUAUUCUCUCCUGAAACAAAACUUCACUGCAGAGACAUGAACGUUAUAGUCUCAAGGUUAGUAUAAACAUGCGAAGUCAGACUUCAGUCAACUGACCCAAUGGGAAAUCGCUAUUGGGAUAGUUCUCUCUCUGGAAGACGGAUCAGGAAAUACUGUACCCUUGUUCUGCUCUUUAUUCUUCUCUAAGGAUUCUGUUCACUGCUCCUAAAGAAAAUAUAUUGAGCUAUAUGGAUAAAGGGUACUGAAAGCACAUCAACAGUCUUCUCUCUUUAAUAACUUUGUUUUCUUGCUAUACAGUAGAAUAGCAUAAAUGGUUCUCUUUUAAAAAUCUUACUAUCUUAAAGUGCAUCUGUAUGUUUUGGGAAAAGAAUAAACCUUGAGACAACAAGGAC